AACGAACGCUGGCGGCGUGGCUAAGACAUGCAAGUCGAACGGACUGCUCAAUUUAUUGGACAGUUAGUGGCGAAAGGGUUAGGAACGGAUGGGUAACGUACCCUGUGCUUUGGGAUAGCGUCAUCCCGACUUCGGUCGGGAUUUCCGAAAGGGGCGGUAAUACCAAAAAUAUCAUUUGUCUAUAGGCGGAUGAUCAAAGAUUUAUCGGCAUAGGCGCGGCCUGUCUCCUAUCAGCUUGUUGGUGAGGUAACGGCUCACCAAGGCAACGACGGGUAGCGGGACUGAGAGGUUGGCCCGCAACAUCGGGACUGAGACACUGCCCGGACCUCCACGGAGGGCUGCAGUAACGAAUAUUGUGCAAUGGGCGAAAGCCUGACACAGCGACGCCGCGUGUAGGAGGAAGUCCUUCGGGAUGUAAACUACUGUCAGGGGGAAGAAAGUGCGCUUCGGCGCAUUGAUCUAACUCAGAGGAAGUCACGGCUAACUUCGUGCCAGCAGCCGCGGUAAGACGAAGGUGGCAAGCGUUGUUCGGUAUUACUGGGCUUAAAGCGUGUGUAGGCGGAAAGGUAAGCGUUUCGUGAAAUCCCCCGGCUUAACCGGGGAACUGCGCAACGAACUGCUUUUCUUGAGGCAAGUAGGGGCGCAUGGAACUCUUGGUGGAGCGGUGGAAUGCGUAGAUAUCAAGAGGAACGCCAGUGGAGAAAUCGGUGCGCUGGGCUUGUUCUGACGCUGAGGCACGAAAGCGUGGGUAGCGAACGGGAUUAGAUACCCCGGUAGUCCACGCCGUAAACGAUGCCUACUAGGUUGUGAAAGUUCUGACACUGGCACAGCCGAAGCAAAAGUGUUAAGUAGGCCGCCUGGGGAGACGGUCGCAAGGCU
rnacentral:rRNA from 1 species